UACAGAGACUGCAAGCGUUAUUCGGAUUCACUGGGCGUAAAGGGUGCGCAGGCGGCCAAGUGUGUGAGGCGUGAAAGCCCGGGGCUUAACCCCGGAAUUGCACCUCAAACUACAUGGCUAGAGCAUUGGAGAGGGAAGCGGAAUUCACGGUGUAGCAGUGAAAUGCGUAGAUAUCGUGAGGAACACCAGAGGCGAAGGCGGCUUCCUGGACAAUUGCUGACGCUCAGGCACGAAAGCGUGGGGAGCAAAAGGG
rnacentral:rRNA from 1 species